rnacentral:rRNA from 1 species
CCUACGGGGGGCAGCAGUGAGGAAUAUUGGUCAAUGGUCGGGAGACUGAACCAGCCAAGCCGCGUGAGGGAUGAAGGUACAGAGUAUCGUAAACCUCUUUUGUCAGGGAACAAAGGCGGGGACGUGUCCCCGGAUGAGUGUACCUGAAGAAAAAGCAUCGGCUAACUCCGUGCCAGCAGCCGCGGUAAUACGGAGGAUGCGAGCGUUAUCCGGAUUUAUUGGGUUUAAAGGGUGCGCAGGCGGUCUGUUAAGUCAGCGGUGAAAGCCCGGGGCUCAACCCCGGCCCGCCCGUUGAAACUGGCAGUCUCGAGUUGGAGAGAAGUAUGCGGAAUGCGCGGUGUAGCGGUGAAAUGCAUAGAUAUCGCGCAGAACUCCGAUUGCGAAGGCAGCAUGCCGGCUCCACACUGACGCUGAGGCACGAAAGCGUGGGUAUCGAACAGGAUUAGAUACCCCGGUAGUC